ACACUGCUGUAAUCCCUCUUCUCUGGUCGCCGUCGUCGUGUUCCUCCCUGCUGGAGUUGGGGCCUUGUUCUUUUUGCUCUGCUUCGCUGUCUUUAUCUGCUCGCGCCAUUCUGAAACCUUUGCUCUACUCCGCCGUGGUGCCAUGCUCUGUCCUCUCAGGCAAAUCGACAACUCUCCGCCGUCCACGUCUUUCUCUCAAGCCUCUCGCAUCACACUCGAUCCUUAGGCUAAAAAUGUGACUUGGAGGAGAAACUUAAGGGUCUCCAACAUGAGGUUCAUGCUGCUCAGCUAGAUUGGGGAAGGUUAAGCUUUAAUUGUGAUAUUUCGUAUUUAUGUUUUACCUAGAUUUGGGAAACUUUUCUCCCUUAUAAUUCGUUAUUGAUCCAGGUUAAAGGAGAAAGAGACUAAGUUGAUAAACAACGUAAAUUUGCAGCC